ACAGGUGUGGCUGCAGACUGCAGGAGCAGAUGAGCUCAUAAGAAACAAAGAUUUGCUCUGCUGGAUGAUCUGUCUUCACUCAAGAACAAAGAGCAGCAGCAUAGAUGAGUUACCGUGUAAACAAAUCGAGCAAUCACUAACAUGUACAUCAGAGUGUGCUUUGUCAGCCAGUAUACACACCUCUCUCCAGCACGUCUGUCCUUUACCCUCGUGGAGAUUUAUAUGAAAGCAAUUUAUAGGGCUGGCAGCCAAGUCUCCACUGGCAAGGUGGCUCAGAAAAGAACUGCAAUUAUGCAAAUGAUCAAGAGAAAAAUAAGAAGAGCUACAAGAUCUAGUUUGCCUAAUUGAGGAAGCUGGGCCCACCCAAGAGGAGGAAGACGUAAAUAAAGAGGCAUGACCUUUUAGAAAUGAGCCAUAGGCUUUCUGUCUCUGAAAGAUAUAUCAUGGCACCUUUUCAACUGGUUAUCAAUUGAUUCCAAGUGUUUAGCAGAGGGAGAAGAUAUAAAUGUUACUAUUUAGGGAAUGAGAUAAUUAAGGAUUAAUAGAGUUAAAUACAAUUUCUUACUUUCGAUGAGAAGGAAGAAACAAGGUCAUUAUCUAU
ensembl:lncRNA